rnacentral:rRNA from 1 species
AAUGAACGUUGGCGGCGUGGAUUAGGCAUGCAAGUCGUGCGAUAACCCCGCAAGGGGGGAAAGCGGCGAAAGGGAGAGUAACGCGUGGGUACCUGCCCCUUGGUCCGGAAUAGCUGCGGGAAACUGCAGGUAAUGCCGGAUAAUAUCCUCGGAUCAAAGGUGUGAUUCCGCCGAGGGAGGGGCCCGCGUUCUAUUAGCUAGUUGGUAGGGUAAUGGCCUACCAAGGCGACGAUGGAUACCGGGUGUGAGAGCAUGACCCGGCUCACUGGGACUGAGACACUGCCCAGACACCUACGGGUGGCUGCAGUCGAGAAUCUUCGGCAAUGGGCGCAAGCCUGACCGAGCGACGCCGCGUGCGAGAUGAAGGCCUUCGGGUUGUAAACCGCUGUCGUAGAUGAGGAAAUGCCAUGGGGUUCUCUCCAUGGUUUGACCUAUUCUAGGAGGAAGGACGGGCUAAGUUCGUGCCAGCAGCCGCAGUAA